ACUGCUGGGAAGGCAUGAUUUGUUUUGAAAUGUGAGGACAUGAGAUUUGGAAGGGGUCAGGGGCAGAAUGAUAUGGUUUGGCUGUGUCCCCACCCAAAUCUCAUCUUGAAUUGUAACUCCCACAAUUCCCAUGUUUCGUGGAGGGAACCCAGUGGGAGGUUAACUGAAUCAUGGGGGCAGGUCUUUUCCAUGCUGUUCUCGUGAUAGUGAGUAAGUCUCAUGAGAUCUGAUGGUUUUAAAAAUGGGAAUUUCCCUGCACAAGCUCUCUCUCUUCUUGUCUGUCACCAUGUGAGACAUGCCUUUCACCUUCUGCCAGGAUUGUGAGGCCUCCUCCCCAGCCAUGUGGAACUAGACAGGGUCUCACUCUGUCACCCAGACUGGAGUGCAGUGGCUCAAGCAUAGCUCACUGUAGCCUCAAUCUCCUGGGCUUGAGCCCUCCUCCUGUCUCAGCCUCCCCAGCAGUUGAGAUCACAGGCUAUGGUUUCAGCGCUGGCCAGUCCUCCUAACCACUGAAAUGCUGCCCUGGCUACCACAUAUGGACUCCAGAUACCCUCUCUACCUGAUGUGGCUGUUGAAGACCAUGGGACACUCACCGAG